UACGGGGGGAGCAAGCGUUGUUCGGAUUUACUGGGCGUAAAGGGCGCGUAGGCGGCGUGACAAGUCACUUGUGAAAUCUCCGGGCUUAACUCGGAAAGGUCAACUGAUACUGUGCGACUAGAGUGCGGAAGGGGCAACUGGAAUUCCUGGUGUAGCGGUGAAAUGCGCAGAUAUCAGGAGGAACACCGGUGGCGAAGGCGGAUCUCUGGGCCUUGCCUGACGCUGAGGCGCGAAAGCUAGGGGAGCGAACAGG
rnacentral:rRNA from 1 species